rfam:Cricetulus griseus cell line CHO-K1, whole genome shotgun sequence.
CCCAAGGCCUUUUUAAAGGCCACAAGUUUUAAAACAAGCACCUCA